rnacentral:lncRNA from 1 species
CAUAACUUAAUUUUUAAUUAAGUAAAUCUAUAUGUUCAAUCAAGUCUCUUACUUUCAAAUUAAACAUAUUGAUAUUAGAUCAAUUUUGUUCUACAUUGUUUGACUUUGUACAUGAUACCAUAGGUUCGAACACUAAGUCGGUAGUAUAGAAACUAUUUUCUGUACUAAUCGAAGUGACCAUCUAGCAAUGAUACUUAAUAUCCAGAU